rnacentral:tRNA from 1 species
GGGGGUGUAGCUCAGUGGUGGAGUGUAUGCUUAGCACUCAUGAGACCCUGAGUUCAAUUCCCAGCACCACAC